rnacentral:tRNA from 1 species
GGUGGGGUGCCAGAGUGGUCGAAUGGGCCUGUCUUGAAAACAGGUGUCCUUCACGGGACCGUGAGUUCGAAUCUCACCCCCACCG